UACGAAGGGGGCUAGCGUUGCUCGGAAUCACUGGGCGUAAAGCGCGUGUAGGCGGCUUUGCAAGUCGGAUGUGAAAGCCCACGGCUCACCACGUGGAAGUGCAUCCGAAACUGCAUGGCUCGAGUCUCGGAGAGGAAGGUGGAAUGCUUGGUGUAGAGGUGAAUUCGUAGAUAUCAAGCAGAACACCUGCGGCGAAGGCGGCCUUCUGGACGAUGACUGACACUGAGACGCGAAAGCGUGGGGAGCAAACAGG
rnacentral:rRNA from 1 species